CUGACGUCAUCACCAAGCGCCGAAGAGACGCAAAAGGUCGGUGCCUGACUGACUACACGCCCUUUUGAAUUGUCCUGUAGCUGGAGUAGGGCAACCGGCUUUGGGUCCAACUGCGGGGCUUCGGUGCUGCGGGGCUCCCCAUGAUCAGCACCAUGGCUGGGUCGUCACACCGCGUAACGCUCGGACCGCUGGUUGCUGCCAUCGACCAGGGCACCAGUUCCACACGCUUCUUGGUGUUCAAUUCCAAAACGGCAGAACUCCUCAGCCAUCACCAGGUGGAGAUAAAACAGAGCUUCCCCAAAGAAGGAUGGGUGGAGGAAGACCCCAAAGAAAUCUUGCAGUCUGUGUACGAGUGCAUGGAACGUACAUGUGAAAAGCUCACACAACUCAAUAUCGACAUCGCAAAUAUUAAAGCGAUUGGAGUGACCAACCAAAGAGAAACCACACUCGUUUGGGACAAAGAAACCGGGGAGCCGCUGUACAACGCAAUCGUUUGGCUUGACCUGCGGACUCAAUCCACAGUUGAGAGUCUGAUCAACAAAACACCCGGGAGGAAUAAAAACCACUUGAAGCAUAAAACAGGCCUCCCCAUCAGCACUUACUUCAGCGCGGUGAAACUUCGCUGGUUGAUGGACAAUGUCGACGACGUUCACAAAGCCGUGCUUUGUCACCGCGCCAUGUUUGGCACCGUGGACUCUUGGCUCAUUUGGUGUUUAACCGGAGGCAAAUCCGGAGGGGUCCACUGCACCGAUGUGACCAAUGCCAGCCGGACCAUGUUGUUCAACAUUCACACAAUGGACUGGGACCCGGAGCUGUGCAAAUAUUUUGGCAUCCCAAUGGAGAUUCUGCCCCGAGUGAGAAGUUCUUCUGAAAUCUACGGCCUCAUGAAAAUAAGUUCUAGCUGGAAAUCAGGAGCGCUUUCCGGCAUUCCCAUUUCAGGGUGUCUUGGCGAUCAGUCGGCAGCGCUGGUUGGACAGAUGUGCUUCCAGGACGGGCAAGCCAAAAACACGUAUGGAACAGGCUGCUUUUUGCUGCGCAACACUGGCCCCAAGCCUGUCAUGUCCGAGCACGGGCUUCUCACCACCGUGGCUUACAAACUGGGUCGAGACAAACCCGCCUGCUACGCCUUAGAGGGUUCCGUGGCCAUCGCGGGAGCCGUGGUCCGUUGGCUGCAGGAUAAUCUCGGCAUCAUCGAGUCGUCCGAGGAGCUCGAGAAAUUGGCCGCAUCGGUUGGGACAUCCUACGGUUGUUAUUUUGUUCCUGCUUUCUCGGGCCUUUAUGCGCCGUACUGGGAGCCCAGUGCGAGAGGGGUCAUUUGCGGCUUAACCCAGUUUACAAAUAAGAGUCACCUCGCUUUCGCCGCCUUGGAAGCGGUCUGCUUCCAGACACGAGAGAUUCUGGACGCCAUGAAUCAGGACAGCGGCAUCCCACUCACCCAGCUGCAGGUGGACGGGGGUAUGACGUCCAACAGGUUGCUGAUGCAGCUACAGGCCGACAUACUCUGCAUCCCUGUCGUGAAACCAUCCAUGCCGGAGACUACCGCUCUGGGCGCAGCGAUGGCGGCCGGCGCAGCGGAGGGCGUGAGCGUGUGGAGUUUGAACCCGGACGACUUGAGCGAAGUCACGUCGGAGAAGUUUGAGCCUCAGAUCAACCCCGAAGAAAGCGAGUUUCGCUAUGCCCGCUGGAAGAAAGCCGUUCAGAAGUCAAUGAACUGGGAGACCACCGAGCUUCCCACGAAUGGAAAUGGUGAAUGCAGCAUCUUCUGCAGUGCCCCGCUGGGCUUCUACAUCAUGGGCAGCAUGCUGAUGCUCAUUGGAGCCAAUUACAUUGCAGGGCACAACUAGUCUCCUGGCAGAGACCCCCCACCCCCCCCCGUCCACUCCACAACUGACAAUUAAUGCCCUCCUGCUGAUGGAGGGCCUCUCCAUGCUUCUCACCGAACAGGAAGACAUACUCAGCGUGAGCAAAUGUAAAGAGUGUAUCGAGCGGCGCCUCACCGCCUUGCAGUCCGGGCUCUGCGUUUGAGAAAAAAACGCGUCACCCCCAUCGUUGUCGACAAACUUCAUCUCAGCACAUCACGUCCAGUCAAACAUCAACUUCACCUCCCUGAAAGAAAAAAAAAAAAAUACAACUCGAGCUGCGGACAUGGGCAUGCCUUUCUGUGAAACUGAUGUCGGUCAAGAUGCACCUCGCUGCAUUCGGACUCGUUUGAGAGACCCCACCUCAGCCCCAAUUGAGGCGACAUGCAGGAGCAGUUAUGGCCAAGUUGUCAUAAAUAUACACACAUAUGUACUCCAGCGUACAUUUUGACGAUGGACAAGUCAAAUGCAGCGGACAACUGAACUGUCUUCACGCUUCACCUUUACAGAAGCUGCACCCCGACACGGAGCUACAGUAGACAAAAAAGCUGGGCGUGGCCAAGUAUCAUCCUCAUCAUGUUAUGUAUGUUCACAUGAUACCACUUUGAGUGCUUGUUUCAAACCCGUUCGUUACUCGCUCGCUUACAUUGUACGAUAACAUUGCGACAAACUGGAGAGGAAUUACCGCCAAGAUGAAUUUAAAAUCCUUUUUAUAAUAUUUUUCCAUUUUAGCUCCCACCGCUCAAUUUGACACUUUACCGACUUGCUUUUCCAUGAAGAAGGCGAUGCAAAAAAUAUUUCCAACAUUGCGUCAAAGAGGGUCCAAAAAAAAGGCAGAUGUUAGAAUCUGUGGUUGUCAUUACGCUAACGAUGCUCCGCUAACCGGUGCACGUUUGUUUGUCUUUGUGUGCAGUUCCUAAAUCAUCCUUAUUUCUUUCUUUGACAUUAUUUGUAUUUUAUCAAUCAUCGCCGUGAAGCAAGUAUAAUCAAAAUGCGGAAUGUACGGGGACAGGAGAGAAGCCGCGUCAGGCUGCCUGAAUGUUUUUGCACUGUUGAAGUACCGUACAGAGUGGAAGGCGCAACAAACGUCAAAUAUUGUUUUGUUUGUUUGCUUGACUGACGAGCUCAUUUCGAUUCCUACUGCCGCACACACACGUUGCGCAAUUGUAUCAUAGUUACUGUGUGUUUGGUGUGAGCGUGUCCAUUAACGGAGGGAUGCUGCAAACGCAGAGAACGUUUUUCUUUAAGAACAUAACGGAAAAAGCUUUAUGGUGACGAGGGUUUCAAAAAAAAAAAAAAAGAUAUAUCGCGUUUUCUUUUUUGGGCUUCAGCGUAGUCAAUAGGCGACAAUUCUGUCCUGAAUUUGAAAUGUGUUUGCAGUGCUUAUUUGAAAUAUUUGAUCUGAAUUAUUGCUUGUUUUCUUUUUAAUGAACUCCAGGCGUAACUCCGAAUCCCAAUCAGAUUUUUAAAAAUAAUUUGGAGAUGGUUGAUGUCUGUGUUGCCUGCGUUCAAAGGUGUACAUUGUUGUAUGCAUGCAAGCAUGUGUGGGGGAGGCUUGUGAGAAAUGUUGAACCUGACCUAAUCCCCCCCCCCCCCCCUCAUGAAACGAAGUAAUCAGAUCGGUGACGAAGGAGUAGGGCCACAAUCAUGAAAUUGAAACUUGCAAUUUAUUGUAAACAUACAACAUUAAUAUUGUGAUUUUGAAGUUAUAAAGAUGUUCAUAAUUCAAAAAGCUCACGACAGUUUACAAAGAUGACCAGAAUGAAAGCUUUUUCCUCCUCCAGAGGCCUUUUGUCAUAUGAAAAUAUAUAUUGGGUAUAUUUCUUUCCACGAGCAUGUGUCAAAUGAUUGAGUUGUGCAUUCCUAUUUUCGGCUCAUCCCAGCCCUGCUCAGUCAAUAUACACCAGUGAGGGCAAAUUAUUUUUUUUCUCCCCCCUACAAUCAUUGCUACUGGCCAUCCCGAUUAUUCGCAACUCUGGUCACCAUGAAGAGAAUGCUUGCAUGCAUUGAGGUAACUUUAUGGCGGGGGGGGGGCUCAUGUAUUGUAUUCUGCUGUGAUGUUCUUGAGCAGGAUGUUGACAAGGUUUGCGCUCUCCUGCAAAGAGUCCAAAAGUUUUGAGUCUGUGUGUAAAAACCACGCCCGAAUGUUGUCAUUUAUUUGUGUUUAGUAUCACUUCUAGGAAUUGUAAAUUAAGUUAUUGCCGUCAUGGUAUUUAUGGAUCUGCGGGUGCGGAGGGGAACAGUACCACACCAUUUAAUAUUGUCUGUUUUUCCAAAAGGCUUUCUGCUGAACUUGCAGCAAGGCAUUUUCACAUUGUCACAUAUGGCAAGACACUAUCUCAAUGUCCCUGUGUGUAAUAUAACCCUUACUGUUGCAACAUGAAUAAUUUUAAAGGAAUGGAGAUGA